rnacentral:rRNA from 1 species
UACAGAGGUCUCAAGCGUUGUUCGGAUUCAUUGGGCGUAAAGGGUGCGUAGGCGGCGCGGUAAGUCGGGUGUGAAAUCUCGGAGCUUAACUCCGAAACUGCAUCGAUACUGCCGUGCUUGAGGACUGGAGAGGAGACUGGAAUUUACGGUGUAGCGGUGAAAUGCGUAGAUAUCGUAAGGAAGACCAGUGGCGAAGGCGGGUCUCUGGACAGUUCCUGACGCUGAGGCACGAAGGUCAGGGGAGCAAACGGGA